rnacentral:rRNA from 1 species
GAUGAACGCUGGCGGCGUGCCUAAUACAUGCAAGUCGAGCGAACAUAUUAGGAGCUUGCUCCUUUUACGUUAGCGGCGGACGGGUGAGUAAACCGUUGGUUACCUACCUAUAAGACUGGCUUAACUCCGGGAAACCGGUGCUAAUUCAGGAUAACAUGUUGAACCGCAUGGUUCUACCGCGAAAUGCGGCUUUGCUGUCACUUUUAGAUGUACCCGCGCCGUAUUAGCAAGUUGGUGAGGGAACGGUUCACCAAGGCAACGAUACGUAGCCGACCCGAGAGGGAGAAAGGCCAGACGGGAAGAGAGAAACGGUCGAGACACUGACGGGAGGAAGCAGUAGAGAAUCUUCCGCAAUGGGGGAAAGCGGGACGGAGCAAAGACGCGGGAGUGAUGAAGGAGUGAGGAUGGUAAAACGAUGUAAGUAGUGAAGAAGAAAAGCGUAAGUAACUGGGAAGGUAUUGACGGUACCAAAUCAGAAAGCCACGGCUAACUACGUG